rnacentral:rRNA from 1 species
GAUGAACGCUGGCGGCGUGCCUAAUACAUGCAAGUCGAGCGAACAGACGAGGAGCUUGCUCCUCUGACGUUAGCGGCGGACGGGUGAGUAACACGUGGAUAACCUACCUAUAAGACUGGGAUAACUUCGGGAAACCGGAGCUAAUACCGGAUAAUAUAUUGAACCGCAUGGUUCAAUAGUGAAAGACGGUUUUGCUGUCACUUAUAGAUGGAUCCGCGCCGCAUUAGCUAGUUGGUAAGGUAACGGCUUACCAAGGCGACGAUGCGUAGCCGACCUGAGAGGGUGAUCGGCCACACUGGAACUGAGACACGGACCAGACGCCUACGGGAGGCAGCAGUAGGGAAUCUUCCGCAAUGGGCGAAAGCCUGACGGAGCAACGCCGCGUGAGUGAUGAAGGUCUUCGGAUCGUAAAACUCUGUUAUGAGGGAAGAACAAAUGUGUAAGUAACUAUGCACGUCUUGACGGUACCUAAUCAGAAAGCCACGGCUAACUACGUG